rnacentral:rRNA from 1 species
GAUGAACGCUAGCGGCAGGCUUAACACAUGCAAGUCGAGGGGUAUAGGUUUUCGGACCUAGAGACCGGCGCACGGGUGCGUAACGCGUAUGCAAUCUACCUUUCACAGAGGGAUAGCCCAGAGAAAUUUGGAUUAAUACCUCAUAGUAUAGCAGUUUCGCAUGAAACCACUAUUAAAGUAUCAACGGUGAAAGAUGAGCAUGCGUCCCAUUAGCUAGAUGGUAAGGUAACGGCUUACCAUGGCUACGAUGGGUAGGGGUCCUGAGAGGGAGAGCCCCCACACGGGUAAUGAGAAACGGACCAGAGUCCUACGGGAGGCAGCAGUGAGGAAUAUUGGUCAAUGGACGCAAGUCUAAACGAGCCAUGCCGCGUGCAGGAAGACGGUCCUAUGGAUUGUAAACUGCUUUUGUACGAGAAGAAACAACAUUACGGGUAAUGUCUUGACGGUAUCGUAAGAAUAAGGAUCGGCUAACUCCGUGCCAGCAGCCGCCGUAAGAC